GUAAAAUGGCUGAAGUUUUAAGCUAUAAAUUGUAAAUUUAUUAAUGAUGAUAUUCUUUUACU
rnacentral:tRNA from 1 species